rnacentral:rRNA from 1 species
GAUGAACGCUGGCGGCGUGCCUAAUACAUGCAAGUCGAGCGAACGGACGAGAAGCUUGCUUCUCUGAUGUUAGCGGCGGACGGGUGAGUAACACGUGGAUAACCUACCUAUAAGACUGGGAUAACUUCGGGAAACCGGAGCUAAUACCGGAUGAUCUUUUGAACCGCAUGGUUCAAAAGUGAAAGACGGUCUUGCUGUCACUUAUAGAUGGAUCCGCGCUGCAUUAGCUAGUUGGUAAGGUAACGGCUUACCAAGGCAACGAUGCAUAGCCGACCUGAGAGGGUGAUCGGCCACACGGGAACUGAGACACGGUCCAGACUCCUACGGGAGGCAGCAGUAGGGAAUCUUCCGCAAUGGGCGAAAGCCUGACGGAGCAACGCCGCGUGAGUGAUGAAGGUCUUCGGAUCGUAAAACUCUGUUAUUAGGGAAGAACAUAUGUGUAAGUAACUGUGCACAUCUUGACGGUACCUAAUCAGAAAGCCACGGCUAACUACGUG